rnacentral:rRNA from 1 species
CUUAGUGGCGGACGGGUGAGUAACGCGUGGGCAACCUGCCUCACACUGGGGGAUAACAGUUAGAAAUAGCUGCUAAUACCGCAUAAGCGCACAGUUCCGCAUGGAACAGUGUGAAAAACUCCGGUGGUGUGAGAUGGACCCGCGUCUGAUUAGCCAGUUGGCGGGGUAACGGCCCACCAAAGCGACGAUCAGUAGCCGGACUGAGAGGUUGAACGGCCACAUUGGGACUGAGAUACGGCCCAGACUCCUACGGGAGGCAGCAGUGGGGAAUAUUGGGCAAUGGGGGAAACCCUGACCCAGCAACGCCGCGUGAGGGAAGAAGGUCUUCGGAUUGUAAACCUCUUUUACCAGGGGAGAAGAAAGUGACGGUACCUGGAGAAAAAGCCACGGCUAACUACGUGCCAGCAGCCGCGGUAAUACGUAGGUGGCAAGCGUUGUCCGGAUUUACUGGGUGUAAAGGGCGUGUAGGCGGGAAGACAGGUCAGAUGUGAAAUGUCGGGGCUCAACCCCGGAACUGCAUUUGAAACCGUUUUUCUUGAGUAUCGGAGAGGCAGGCGGAAUUCCUAGUGUAGCGGUGAAAUGCGUAGAUAUUAGGAGGAACACCAGUGGCGAAGGCGGCCUGCUGGACGACAACUGACGCUGAGGCGCGAAAGCGUGGGGAGCAAACAGG